UUACCUACGGGGCGCAGCAGUGGGGAAUAUUGGACAAUGGGCGAAAGCCUGAUCCAGCCAUGCCGCGUGUGUGAAGAAGGUCUUCGGAUUGUAAAGCACUUUAAGUUGGGAGGAAGGGUUGUAGAUUAAUACUCUGCAAUUUUGACGUUACCGACAGAAUAAGCACCGGCUAACUCUGUGCCAGCAGCCGCGGUAAUACAGAGGGUGCAAGCGUUAAUCGGAAUUACUGGGCGUAAAGCGCGCGUAGGUGGUUUGUUAAGUUGGAUGUGAAAUCCCCGGGCUCAACCUGGGAACUGCAUUCAAAA
rnacentral:rRNA from 1 species